rnacentral:rRNA from 1 species
AGGGAAUAUUGCUCAAUGGGCGAAAGCCUGAAGCAGCAACGCCGCGUGGAGGAUGAAGGUCUUCGGAUUGUAAACUCCUUUUCUAAGAGAAGAUUAUGACGGUAUCUUAGGAAUAAGUACCGGCUAACUCCGUGCCAGCAGCCGCGGUAAUACGGAGGGUGCAAGCGUUACUCGGAAUCACUGGGCGUAAAGAGCACGUAGGCGACCUUGCAAGUCAGAUGUGAAAUCCAACGGCUUAACCGUUGAACUGCAUUUGAAACGUGCACAGGCUAGAGUAUGGGAGAGGUAGGUGGAAUUCUCGGUGUAGGGGUAAAAUCCGUAGAGAUCGAGAGGAAUACUCAUUGCGAAGGCGACCUGCUGGAACAUUACUGACGCUGAGGUGCGAAAGCGUGGGGAGCAAACA